rnacentral:rRNA from 1 species
GGACUACAGGGGUUUCUAAUCCUGUUUGCUCCCCUAGCUUUCGUGCAUCAGUGUCAGGAGUUGUCCAGGGACUCGCCUUCGCCACUGGUGUUCCGCUUGAUAUCUAUGCAUUUCACUGCUACACCAAGCAUUCCAGUCCCCCCUCCAACCCUCGAGCAGAGCAGUUUCCAAUGCCAUUUCCGAGUUGAGCUCGGAGAUUUCACAUCCGACUUACCCUACCACCUACGCACCCUUUACGCCCAGUGAAUCCGAACAACGCUUGGGACCUCUGUAUUACCGCGGCGGCUGGCAC